UGAUACAUAAAAACAUUGUAUUGCUCACACAGAUAGAGGAUUCAGACACGGACAGCAGCAAUGGAUCAUCAGAUGUGUGCAGCUAUGAGGGGGGUUGUCCUUCUCUUUCUGCUUUCUCUCUGGGCUGGAGACAAGGUGGAUGCUCAGAUUAGUGAAGCAAAUUUAGCUAAACUGAUUACAGAGAUGAAAAAGUUCGGACUGCAAAAUCGUGAGUAUGCCAUGGCUGUCAGGCUCACCAAAGACGAGUGCCAGACCGGAGAGUUUGAUGUCAACGUUGAACCAGAGGUGGUCAAGGCGGCACUUACUGCCGGACAAAUCUACAAAGGAGACAAGAUCAUCGCAGCCAUACCGUAUAAUGGCUACCACGCAGAGUAUCGUCUCCUGAGUAUUACUACCCAGGAUAUGGGCUACCCCAUAUUACACCUGACAGAUAACAACAAGGACUGUAUAAUCUUCUUUACCACAUUCUCUCCCUGCCUGGAGUCCUGUAUGAAUGAAAGAGGAGGCCACAGCAUUAUCCCUGACCUUGAUAGGGCCUUUCGUACUAGAGACCUAAACUUUAAGGCCUUUGUGUUCGAGAAAGUCUGGCAACCUAAGUGGGGUGGGGCAAAAACCAAUCCCCCAAGGCAAAAUGUACUAAACUCCUUCAAUACAAUACAUAAGAAAAUCCCCCUAUAUCGCUGUACACGCAGCACGUGUUAUUAUUGCAAUGAGAUGAACACAGGUCACUGUUUGGAGGGCUACAGUGGCUGAGUGCACUCCUUCAAGUCCAGCUGAGCCAAUGAAGCCUCCUGUAUCUGUAGAGGACUGUCAACCUCUCUCUCCCUUCAUCCCUCUCUGUCUCUCACUGUCCCUUUUUGCCCUUUCCUCAGUAUCUCUGUCCCUCCUUGGGAGAAUCUCAAUUGGUUUUGCUCGACUCCUCGCGUCCUCUCCUCCAUCCUCUCCUCACCUCCUUUUGAAAAAGGUCAAAGGUAAUCAAAUAGAGGAGGAAAGGAAACAUGCAAACAAAUGUGCUUGUAUGAAAUGACUCUCCUUCACCAACACGUAAUCAGGCAAAUGACAUUUACAAAGGAGUAAUCCCCAAAUACAUGUGUUAAGUGGUAAAAAUAAAUGUAGCUGGUUGCACUUGGCAUUUUAUAGAGAAAUAAGUAUUGUAUCGUUUUUUAAAAUGUGGGCAUGCUUUUCUUAGAGAAACAAUAGCUGAUUCAAAGGGGGUGUGGCAGAUUUUAAAACACUUUCACGUUUCCCGCUGGGAGGAUACAUUUGUGCUCAGGCUAUCGAGGAGAGGAGGACCACUUUUUUGGUUUCCGGGUCCCGGUGGAGAGGAGGACAGGGCGAGGAUGGACUUUUUCCCAAUUUGAGAAUCCUCUUCCCUAUCCUUCUUUCUCUCUAUCCUUCCUUCCCUCCCUCUCAUUCUCUUUCACUUUCUCCCCCACCACAGUUCCACAGUUCAAUAAAGUACACUAUUACAGGA